rnacentral:rRNA from 1 species
AUGAUGAGGAACCGGAUGUUGAUCCAUAUGUACAACAAACAUCAACGGGAACCGCUCCGUCACGCCGUGCUCCAAAAAGGAAGAGACGGGUUUCACCUAUACCAGAAGAAGAAGAGUUCGCCGAGGAGGAGUCAGACGAAGAUGGUGGAACGGAAGUACCACAAGAUGUUGAAGACGACGGGGAGACAGAUGAGGAUGAAUCAGAGGAGGAGGAGAAAGAGGAGGAGGACAAAGAAGAAGAGGAUGAUGAUGAGGAGGAGGAGGAGGGGGCAGAGGAGGAGGAGGAGGAGGACAAAGGAAAAGAGGACAAAUGAGAGGAGGAGGGCAAGGAAGAAGAUAGUGAGGCAGAGGAGGAGGAACAAGAAAAUGAGGCCAAAGAAGGAGACGAAAACAAAGCUGCAACAAUCGAUGGUAGUGAGGGGAAGGAGAGGACGAGGAAGAAGACGAGGAUGCCGAUCCUGA